GGUCGGGUGGCCGAGAGGCUAGGCAGUGGUCUGCAACACCAUCUACACCGGUUCGAAUCCGGUCCCGACCUCCA
rnacentral:tRNA from 1 species